UUGUGUGUGAUGCAGAGGAGCAGGGCCACCGAUCCUCUGUUCCUCAGCACUGGAGACAAAGACUUGAUGUUUUCACACGUUCAGCAGCUGUUAGGGGGCUUCUUGCCCUCCCGUCAUCCUCUGUAGCCCCUGGCUCCCAGGCAGGACCCAGGCAGCACCCACCGCCAAGCUUUAGGGUGUCUGCACCCAUGUGUGUCCCCUGCGGGCGGUGGGGCGGGGCGGUGGGAUGUGCCAUUCCCCCUUGCGAUGUUAUCGGUGUGAGGCAGCUGCCCGCUCCGCGCCUGGCCCUUGCUGCCAUGUGGGCCUGGGCACGCUGCCUGCGGGCUCCCCGGUGUGUGCCCGUGGGUUUGCCCCUGCUUAUCUCUCGGACUGCUCCAGCCCUUCCUCUCCACAGUUCUUCAGCGUUUUCACAGCCCCCUCUGUGGCACAGGCUUUGGGUUUGGGGGGAGCUGGCAAUGGCCCUGGCAGGGGGCACCCCACUCCCUGGCACCGGGGAGGCGUUGGGGUCACGGCACUUGCUGCAGUAUCCCCCCGAGGAGGACGGGGUGCUGUAUGUGGACUACAAGCCCCCCGCCCUGGACAGCAUCCGACUGCCCCGCUAUGUCGUUUACCUGAUGAUGGGAGCCACCCUGGUGCUGCUGGUGGUAUACGCCAUCAUGGGGCACCUCAUCAAGGACCUGAUGCACGACUUUGCUGACUGGGCGUUUGGGCCCAAGCCGGAGGAGGAGAAGGUGGUGAUGGCUAAGGGGACCGUGCCGGAGGUGGAGUGGCUGGAGGAGGAGGAGGAGGACAGGGUGCUGGCAGAGGUUAAACCGGAGCGUGAAGGCACCAGUGCCCUGCCUGGCAUGGACAUCCCGCUGGGGCUGCUCACCGCUGCCCCACGCAGCUCCAUCACUUUCGCUGACACCCCCAAGAAAAGGUUUUUCUAGGGCCGGGGGACUUGGCCCCACCACCCCCAGGACCUCUCAGCCAUGCCUGGCCACUGGGUCACAGCACGGCCCCUGGCCCCUGACUGGGGUGCAGGGGUAAUGCUGCCUGGUGCUGGCACGUGGCUUCACCCGUCCUCAGCACAACCCCACACGCUUCUCUCGGGGCUGCUCUUGCUGACCCCCAAUAAAGCAGCCUGCUCCAGCCCCGCUCGCUUGCCC
rnacentral:lncRNA from 1 species